GACGAACGCUGGCGGCGUGCUUAACACAUGCAAGUCGAACGGAAAGGCCCUGCUUUUGUGGGGUGCUCGAGUGGCGAACGGGUGAGUAACACGUGAGUAACCUGCCCUUGACUUUGGGAUAACUUCAGGAAACUGGGGCUAAUACCGGAUAGGAGCUCCUGCUGCAUGGUGGGGGUUGGAAAGUUUCGGCGGUUGGGGAUGGACUCGCGGCUUAUCAGCUUGUUGGUGGGGUAGUGGCUUACCAAGGCUUUGACGGGUAGCCGGCCUGAGAGGGUGACCGGCCACAUUGGGACUACGAUACGGCCCAGACUCCUACGGGAGGCAGCAGUGGGGAAUAUUGCACAAUGGGCGGAAGCCUGAUGCAGCAACGCCGCGUGCGGGAUGCCGGCCUUCGGGUUGUAAACCGCUUUCGCCUGUGACGAAGCGUGAGUGACGGUAAUGGGUAAAGAAGCACCGGCUAACUACGUG
rnacentral:rRNA from 1 species